UGCUCUUCUGAUCUGAGUGAACAGUCAGGCUUCUGGGCCCCACCCAGGCUGGGGGAGUGGCUGCCCUUGGGAAAGAGAAGGAGCAUGCUGGCCAAUCAGCUGGCUUAUCAGCAGGUGGCUGCCAGAAGCUGCCUGGAGGAGAAGCAGGUGCCGAGGGCAGGACUGUGCCAGCCGUUGGAAGCAGUGUUUGAAAACUGGCCUGGAUUCCCCAUUCCCGCCGUCCCAGGUCAUUCUGAUAGGCAGGGAAGAGAGGAAAGGACAGUUUCUAUGGGAGGGCCCAGGACUUGAAUCUCAUUCUUCAGAGAGAUGGAUCCUCAGGGAUUCCUUCCUUGCUUCCAACCCUUCAGUGGCCCCCAGAGUCUUCUUGAGGACCUAACCUCCCCUGCUCAGCCUUUAAGACACUUUGUGAUGGAGCCCUUGACUUCCUCUCCUCUGCCUUCUACACUCUGUUCCCUGUCCUUCCCCAAGUGCACUCAGCUUGUUCUCUCCUCCAGGCCCUUGUCUGUGCUGUUCCCUCAGCCUGAAACACAGUUCCCCAUCCUUUUUCACCCCCCGGAGCGGCCCCUCUGAGAAGCUUGGCUCCAGCCCGCGGUGCUGAAUCCCUCAGGACAUCAUGGUGUCUGUGUCCAUCCCCCCGCUGGUCUCAGCUCUGCGUGAGCUGUCAGUGCGUGUGCGUGUGCGCCUGCAGCCCUGGCCUGGAGCAGAUGCUUUGUGAAUGUCAGAUGCAGGAGGAAGUGAUGUCCUCGAGAAAGAAUGAGGGUGCAUCCCCCCACCCUCCCCCACAGCAGGGGGCCCUGACCCUGAGAGCCGGUGCUUCUGAAGUUGGAGUUUCCUGGGCCCCUUUAUCAAGACGAGACCUCAACCGAGGGGUCCAGAAGAGGGUCAGAGCCAGCUUGGGAAUCCCGACUCUGCUGAACAGACUUGGGGCGGGGGAUGACCUCACCCCCUGGGAACUCAGUGCAUCGGAGCCCACUUGAGCCAAGAGGGCUGCCGCUUAGACCUGGAAGGAGCGGCCUUUUCUCCCAACGAGCCGUGUCGCGUGACCUCCAGCCCCCCUCCCGGGCCUCCCCGCAGCUGUUGACAGGAGUGUCAGGCCGCGGCGCUGCACUGACCGGGUUCUGUUUGCAAAGAACAGGAGCGGGGAGGAGCUGCGUGGUGGUUCCCAGUGUGGGCUGGCCCCUUUCCACCCUGAGUGCUGGCCGACCAGGCCUCUGACACAGAACAAAGUCCCAUCAGGCUGGCGUCUGUCUCCUGGGUGCAUGUCACUGCUCUUUUUGGCAGAGGUGAGGGAGGCGUGGUUGUUUUCUUUCUAAUCCACUUUCAAACCCACCAAUAGAAAAGGUACUCUGUUGCCGGAGGAGACCGACAUCCCUGCCCUGCUUUGGGUGACGGAAAGCCUGCCAAUACCAGCCUUGCCUUUGCCUCGUUAGCGUGUGUGCACGCGUGUGUGCACGCGCACACACAGACACACACGUGCACCAUGCUGCUUCCUCCCACUGUCACUUGAAUCAGAGACUUCUUACGGAAGGGCCACCGUCUGAGGGCAGAUGUGUGUGGGUUCGGGAAGCCCCAGACACUGUCCAUCAAACUGUGUGUGUGGAGUGUGGGUGUGUUCCCGGGAAGAGAGGCUGGUACCGCGUUCAUCACCCUUAGCAAGGCCUGGCCACCUUGGUGGGGCAGGGUGGAGGAAGGGUCCCCCGCCCCUGCCCGGUUCUGCUGCCCGGGUUUCCUCACCGGCAAAGUGAAGGCAGAACAGUCCCCCUGAAGGGUUGUGAGGCUGCCAGCUCUGCACAAAAAGGGCCGUGCGGGCGUGUGCCCAGGGCUCGGUAAAAGGCUAGUUAGAGCCUCUGUGAGAGGGAGGGGGCAGCAUAGUUCUCAGGGUUGGCAAUCUCCUUUCCCGGUGGAGUGGAAGCUGCUGAAAAUCUCAGCCAGAAUGCCAUCUGCUGAAUGCCAGCACGCUGGGGGCCUUCAGCUCGGCGUCCAGAGAAGCCAGAGCUGUGCUUCCUGCCAUCCUCCUGGCGGUAAAUGCCAUCUCCUUGGACUCUUUUUAGAUCAAAGGAAAGGCUGGGUUGGGCGAUGAGCGGCAUCGUUCAGAGGGUGGCACAGUGCGCAUUUGGGAUGCUGCUGGGGUGGCUUAAAAAUAGGCCUCUGUCCUUGGACACAGGGAAAGUGACCCUGGGGUUUUCAAGAGGCCUUUCCUCGCCAAGGUUACCAGCCCGCCAUGAGAGCAACGUUGCAGGAUGUAUUCUCCAGAUACACAGACAGCCAUCUCCCACCCAGGAGUAAACCUUUUCUCAAUAAAGGAGCAAGAAAAGGUAGUAAAGGGAGGGAGCCAGUGUUAACUGAACACCUACUAUGUGCCACACGCCGUGUCUGACUAGCUGGCCUCAUUUGUCCUCACAGCAAUCAUGCAGGGUGGAGGUGACUCUUAACCGGUUUUCUAGGUCUGGUCGGGGGGCCCAGAGAAGUUAAGCAUGUACCUCAAGAUCACACAACUGCAAAAUGACAAAAAUCAGAAUUUGAACCCUUGUCUGUCUGACUCUAAGCCUGUGCUCUUUUUAACCGCCUCUCAAAUUGAGAUUUAGGAGAUAAACGUGUGGGAGAGAUGGUGUGAGGGGCUUACCUAAGGGUCGGACCCCGAUGUUCCCCAUGAGGGAGGGAAUGAGUGUGCUGGGACUCCCGCUGGGGGCUUCCCUGCUUUCACCACCCCUCCCUGCAGCCUGGGGGGUCUGUGUUCACGCACCAUCAACAGGUGGUGACUUGCCCAAAGGCCCCUCAGGCUAGCAAGCAGCAAAGCAGGGGCUCACACCCAGAGCCCAUGAAGGCUAUUCUAGCACAUGCGAGUAAACCGCAGAGCCAGCCCUGAAGGACCGGCCCAAGGAACAGCUCUGCUGUCCCCCUGCCUCCCGGAACAGCUAGCCCAAGGCUGGUAGUGCCAACACUUGUUUUUCCCAAACAGAGCCCCUUUCUCCCUAACUGCCCACAGCCGCUCAUCUCCACCCCCCACAUCUCUGCUCAUACACUUUUGGGUUUUUUUAUUGGCCAUACCCCAUGGCGUGCAGAACUUCCCCCAACCGGGCAUCGAAGCUGCGAGCCCCACUGUGAAGUGCAGCGUCUCAACCACUAGACCGCCAGGGGAGACCUCUGCUCACACAUUUCUGAGCUGGGGCUUUGCUUCCGUGACUAGAUGCUGGAAAGCCCCGCCCUCUGUUCUUGGCAGGCUGGAGCCGCCUUUGGUUAAUUCUGAGUGGUGGGCCAGGACGGUCCCCUCCCUCCUACACACAGGAAGGGACUGAGUGCAGAGAUCUCCCCUUGGUUCCCACCACAGAGAAGUCUCCUCCCCCUGUCUUGUUCUUGGAGUCCCAGGACCCAGUUCUUGGCCAGAGAGCAAGGGGGCUCACCGGCCAGAGGCAGCACCCCCAUGAGGCCAGCUGGGACUUGGCCUUGGUUGGGGGUAAAGGUCUGGUCCCUGGUGUGGGCUGGGGCCCCUUCCUAGCAGAAGGUUUUCUCACCAGUGAGAAGGGGGUCCGUCUGAAUCUGGUCCUGGUGCCAGCAGCCGGGAAACUCUGCUCACAGACUCAACCAUUUGGGGGAACAGCUGAAGUGACCCCAGGAGGGGAACAGUGGGGGACCUUUUGGCUCUCGGUGGAAUAUUCUGCAGCCGUGAAACAGCACGGUGAAUGCUUGGGAGCCAUGUGGGGAAAUGCUUUUUAUGUAGUGUUGAGUUAGAAAAGGCAGGAAGCAGAAUUAAAUGUGUUCUCUGAUUGCAAGGAAAUUAGAAAGGGUACUCAGUACUACUUCAUGCUUAGUACUUCCACACUACACAUGGAAGAAAGUCAGGCAAGAGGAAAGAGCACUGGUUUGGGGUCAGACUGAGCUGGGUUCACAUCUCAAUGCUGCUCCUUGGAUCUGUAGGAAGUGUUUUUCUCCUGGAAAAUGCAGAUGAGAAUCCUGUAGGUGAAGAUUUGUUUUGAGAAUUAACUACAACCAUGUUAUCAAAAGGCUUCCCUUGUAGCUCAGUUGGUAAAGAAUUUUCCUGCAAUGCAGGAGACCCAGAUUCCAUCCCUGG